UAUAUGCAGUACCAAAAGUAUUCCGUGAAUUUACAGAGCUCCUGUUAAACUGCUAAAGUUUUGACCUCACUGUUACCUCAAGCUUUACCAGAACUUCAUUCUCUGAUGGUGACAAAAAUUCAGAUUGCUGUAGGUAGUUAAUACCUGUCUGUUCCUGUGCCAAUAUUGUCUUUCAGUUUAAACAGUUCUUUUUUCUCCUUAGCAUUCAUUGCCCUGUACUUACAGAAAGCAACAGUAUUUUUUUGCAGGUGUUAUUUUACCAGGUUGAACACAUGAAGCUGUUUUAGCUUUUGUGAUGUAAUGAACUCCUGAAAAUGACAACAAACGGAGCGGAGGUCAACUUAAUGUCAUAAUGAAAUAGUAACUCAUACUGGAUCUUAACUGGAUCUAAGACUUAACUGGAACUAAGGCUGGAUCUCACCUGCUCGUUGAGGACCUCCAUUAGAAACCUCUUUAGUUCUCCCUCUACUGCAAUCCAGCUCACCCCGUCUACCUUCUCCACUUAAGAAUUUUUUGAGUAAACCCCCUUCUUCUUCUUAUGAGUUCUUUGUGGAGAUGCAGAUCUGAACUGUGGAAGACAGCAUUAAAGAAGGGAAUCCAAAAUGUUUAAUAAUCCUGCUGUUCUCACUUGGCAAAGCAGCCCAAAAGAGGCUCUUUAAAGACACUCUCCCUUUGUGCAUCUUCAGGUGCCCUUAUGUCCUUUCAUACUGAGAAUAAACAUUUCAACUCAAGUUUCAUUGUUUCAAGGGCCUAUAAUUUAUUGUGAUAAAAUGAUGCAGCUCUGCUGUUUUGACCAGGAGGUCAGUCUGAACCGGAGUAAACAGGAUGGAGUUCUACAUAUUCUUUAAGGAGAUACGGCUUUCCUCUCUCGUCAACACUAUUUGCAAGAGAGAAAGAGGAUUUCAGAAAAAUGAGAGCAGCA